UUACUCUGGAAACGUGCAGCUGUUCACCUUCAGCCCUCAGUCCUCAGGUGAGAAAACAGAAUCGUUCUACUUGGUGAGGUUCAUCGUUGUGUCUGUGGGUUUAGCAGCACUCAUAAUAAUUGUUGUGGCAGUCAACAUCUGGACAAGAACUAAAGGGACAAAAACACAGAUGGAUGAAAACACAGUGAGUUUAUAAUGUUUUUACAGUUGGUACUUUACACAGCAAACCAGUGUUUGUGACAUCUGCUCUUCAUUCUGAAGUGUAGAUGUAGAUAUAGAUAGAAGAAGACAAACAGAAACAAGACUCACUGAGUUGUACUGAAGUGGUCAAGAGGAACAUUUUGGAUUUGGGGUACCACAUAAACACUCCCUGUCUGGUCAAUCAGCUGGAGGAACAUGUGACAGUUUGGUACUUUUAUUUAACUAAUUACUUAAUUUCCUUCUGCAUGUCCUUUGUUACCACAAAAAACAGUUGUAAGUGGCAAAAAUAUGUAACCAGCCAGUCCAGAACACAGCAGCUGGAUUUCAACUUCA